rnacentral:rRNA from 1 species
UACGAAGGGUGCAAGCGUUACUCGGAAUUACUGGGCGUAAAGCGUGCGUAGGUGGUUUGUUAAGUCUGUUGUGAAAGCCCCGGGCUCAACCUGGGAAUGGCAAUGGAUACUGGCAGGCUAGAGUGCGGUAGAGGGUAGUGGAAUUCCCGGUGUAGCGGUGAAAUGCGUAGAGAUCGGGAGGAACACCAGUGGCGAAGGCGGCUACCUGGACCAGCACUGACACUGAGGCACGAAAGCGUGGGAAGCAAACAGGG